rnacentral:rRNA from 1 species
UACGGAGGGUGCGAGCGUUGUCCGGAAUCACUGGGCGUAAAGGGUGAGUAGGCGGUCUGUUAAGCGUGUGGUGAAAGCCUGGGGCUCAACCCCAGGUCUGCCAUGCGAACUGGUGGACUCGAGCACUGUAGAGGCAGGUGGAAUUCCGGGUGUAGCGGUGGAAUGCGUAGAGAUCCGGAAGAACACCGGUGGCGAAGGCGGCCUGCUGGGCAGUGCUGACGCUGAAUCACGACAGCGUGGGAGCAAACAGG